UACGAAGGGGGCGAGCGUUGUUCGGAGUUACUGGGCGUAAAGGGCGCGUAGGCGGCUUUAUAAGUCGGGGGUGAAAGCCUGUGGCUCAACCACAGAAUUGCCUUCGAUACUGUAUGGCUUGAGACCGGAAGAGGUAAGUGGAACUGCGAGUGUAGAGGUGAAAUUCGUAGAUAUUCGCAAGAACACCAGUGGCGAAGGCGGCUUACUGGUCCGGUUCUGACGCUGAGGCGCGAAAGCGUGGGGAGCAAACAGG
rnacentral:rRNA from 1 species